UUCAGUCUGAGGGCUCCAACAGU
rnacentral:piRNA from 1 species